CUGACUGCUAUCGGAUGAUACUAAGCCAUGCGAGUCUUUGUAGUAAUACAAGGCAGACGGCUCAGUAACACGUAGUCAACCUACCCUAUGGACAAGAAUAAUCUCGGGAAACUGAGCAUAAUUCUUGAUAGAUCAUAAUGCCUGGAAUGGUUUAUGGUUAAAAUGAUUCGUCGCCAUAGGAUGGGACUGCGGCCUAUCAGCUUGUUGGUGAGGUAAUGGCCCACCAAGGCGAUUACAGGUACGGGCUCUGAGAGGAGAAGCCCGGAGAUGGGUACUGAGACACGGACCCAGGCCCUAUGGGGCGCAGCAGGCGAGAAAACUUUGCAAUGUGCGAAAGCACGACAAGGUUAAUCCGAGUGAUUUCUGCUAAAGAAAUCUUUUGCCAGUCGUAAAACCGCUGGUGAAUAAGGGGUGGGCAAGUUCUGGUGUCAGCCGCCGCGGUAAAACCAGCACCUCAAGUGGUCAGGAUGAUUAUUGGGCCUAAAGCAUCCGUAGCCGGCUUUGUAAGUUUUCGGUUAAAUCCAUGUGCUCAACGCAUGGGCUGCCGAAAAUACUGCAUAGCUAGGGAGUGGGAGAGGUAGACGGUACUCAGUAGGAAGUGGUAAAAUGCUUUGAUCUCUCGAUGACCACCUGUGGCGAAGGCGGUCUACCAGAACACGUUCGACGGUGAGGGAUGAAAGCUGGGGGAGCAAACCGGAUUAGAUACCCGGGUAGUCCCAGCUGUAAACGAUGCAGACUCGAUGAUGCAUUGGCAUAAUAGCCAGUGCAGUGUCGCAGGGAAGCCGUUAAGUCUGCCGCCUGGGAAGUACGUACGCAAGUAUGAAACUUAAAGGAAUUGGCGGGGAGCACCACAAAGGGUGAAGCCUGCGGUUCAAUUGGAUCACCGCCGG
rnacentral:rRNA from 1 species